CGGGUGCAUAAGGAAAAGAAACUAGUUCCAUGAAACACUAAUCUUGGGAUUCCAAAUUUGGCAGCUGCAUCAGUAGCCCACGGAAAGAACAUAUCAGCAACAAGGCAAUCGGGGUGGCAUUCUUGGAGGAGCUUUUCAAGAGGUUCUUGGAGCAUGGAUGUGGCCUGCAAAAAAUUUUUGAUCAAGUGAAUUCCACCAUUCUCAUGGGGAGUGAUGGAAUCCACGUUUUCACAUCCUUCUGGUAGUCCAGCCUCCACUGAAGGGAACUUCAGGAUACGAAGAUCAACAUUUAUACCGAAAUUUUUGUUUCUUUCGAUUGUU
rnacentral:misc_RNA from 1 species